UACGAAGGGGGCUAGCGUUGUUCGGAAUUACUGGGCGUAAAGCGCACGUAGGCGGAUAUUUAAGUCAGGGGUGAAAUCCCAGAGCUCAACUCUGGAACUGCCUUUGAUACUGGGUAUCUUGAGUAUGGAAGAGGUAAGUGGAAUUGCGAGUGUAGAGGUGAAAUUCGUAGAUAUUCGCAGGAACACCAGGUGGCGAAGGCGGCUUACUGGUCCAUAACUGACGCUGAGGUGCGAAAGCGUGGGGAGCAAACAGGG
rnacentral:rRNA from 1 species